UUUGACGAAGUAAGCCCUAAUUCGAAAUAGAGAACUGUCCCCCCACAUUUCUGAACUGAAACUCAAACACCAGACACCAAAUCACGCAGCUGCUCAUGGCGGUCUUGCCUGGGUUCGACGGCGCAGGGGAGCGGCGGCUGCUCACGGCGGUCUUGCUCGACGGCGCCGGCUCUGGGUAUCCUUAAUUUUCUUGUGCUAGUUUUUUAAAUAAAUGUUAUUUCCAUGGAAUUCAUAAUGUGCAUGUGCUGAAUUAAGGAUAAAAUGAAUGCACUGUUAUGUUAUGUUUGUUGUUUACUCAUAAUGUCGAAGAUGCUUUAGUGGAAAGAUUAUGGGUUGCUGUUAUUUGUUUAUGAUCUUUGGGGAUUUUUCUGCGCAAAUGGGUGCUUCAGGGAAGUGGAUAAAAUCUUUGAUUAAAUUUUAGAAAAAAUAGAAAAAAAUAUACUUCCUAUCUUUCUUUUUUGGGACGUCCACAAAAAAACUUCCUAACUAUUUUUGGACUACUCCACCACUUAUAAUUACUCACUUUCACUUUUUCACAACUCCCAAUAUUAAUUAUAAAACCUUUUUCACCACUCUCAAUACACUCAACUACCUUUUAUUCCCUCUCAAUAUAUUCCACAAUAUUUUUUCUUAAAACCCGUGUCACUCCCUCCUAGAAAGUUCUUUCAUGGACGGAGGGAGUAUAUACUAAAGUGCAAUUUUAGAAAUCAAAACUACGUCGGUUUGCUUACAUGUCUGCCACGUCAAUUAAUUAAAUUUUCCGGCCUGUAUAUGUGGCGUUUUCGGCGUCCACGUCAUUUUCACGUUUAGGUGGUUGGGUGACCGUGGGAAAUUCUAGAAAAAAGAGAAAAGUUAUGUAUUAUCGGGCAGAUUUUAAAGAUGAUGUGCAAUUCCAGAAAAUGAUGAAAGUUAAUGUAUUUAGGGGCAAUUACCCCUAUUUUAAAUGAGAGGAUGUAUUGAGUAGUUAUCCCAUGUUAGUGUCGUGACCUUCUCCAAAGCCAAUGAACCUAACUUAGUAACUUUAUAAUUUAUCGGCUAGAAUAGAACCAAAGGACUGUUCCUGAUCCUGACUUUUUCUUUAAUUCUUUUUUGCCUGAUGAGGAUUCAGAAUCUUGGUAAUUAAUUCUUUGUUUUCAUUUGAACAUUGUUUUAUUCAGCACGCAAAUUAGUUUUGAGUAGCACAAUCAGCCAAUUAAUCCUGCUUUCUUUAUAAUAAUUUCUUAGUAUUUAAGUUUUUAAUUUUACAUCUGUAUAUAUAUAGAAAUUGAUUGAAGUAGUGAUGGAGGUGAAGUAUUUCAAAUCCGAUUCAGAUUUUCUGCCCAAGAAGGUAAUCUCGAACUCUCAUAGUAUAUUUGCUUGCUGUCUUUUCUCUUUGAUUGUUGAUUCCUGUUUUGGCUCUUUCAUGAAUUAAAAUUAACACUACCUCCGUCACGUAAUGACUAAUGAGUACCCAUUUUGGGAUGGCACGGGUUUUAAAAAAUGCAUUAAGUGUGAUGUGAAAUUAUGAAUGGAGUAAAAGUCCCACUUUUUGAGUGUAUUAAUUUAAGGAUUGUACUCAUUUUGUGCACAGACUAAAAAUGAAAUAUAAGUACUCAUUUUGUGGACGGAUGGAGUAUUCAGUAUUCAUGAUUAUCACUCUUAUCAGUGUACAGUCAUUUUUUUUCAUGUUUGUGGAAACACGUCCCUAAUCUCAACUUGAAUGCAAAGCUUCUAACCAACCAUUAUCAAGAGCCUAUACGAGGAAGCGCAUGGGAUGCUGAAAGGUGCAAGUAUAUAGAAAUAGUAAGCUCGGUUCUCCAAUCGCGUAAAGCCCCUUUGCUGAAAGAAUUAAGAAUCUCUUUGUAUGCAAACAAGUCAGCGCAGUGCGCAGUUGCCAAAUGGCUUGAAUUUGUGGUUUCAAGACAAGUUGAGAGAUUGAGAUUGGACUUUCUAUGUGUGGGUCCAAGUGAUGUGGUUUCCUGUGAAGAGUUGUUAGGAGACAACAAGGUGUGCCUACCUCAAAAUCUCAUUGGUUAUAAAUCCCUCAAGAGUUUGCAUCUGAGAUGGUUCAAAGUGAGUGGCGAGGCUAUAGAAUCGUUCCUACGUAAUUGCCCCUGUUGGAGGAAUUGUAUAUCCAAUAUUCAAUUUUGACAUCUGAUAUUGUGGUUUGUGGCACGGCACUCGCGCUAAAGCCCCUUGAUAUAUAUGGUUGCUAUGAUCGGCCUUUUGAUAAAAGUCCAUAAAA